UUGGUGAAAAUUUUCACAAACUUGGCACAGCUUCCCUACCAAAAGAAGCAUGGAAGGAUUUGGGAAGAUGGUCUCCUUUGUGGGUAAAACCAACAGUGAGUUUCUCAGGUUUGAAUGGGCACAGAUGCUGAUACAUAAGCCAAUGCAAGACUUCAAGUGAUGUGUCUGAAGACAAUUCAUUACAACUGCACGUCACAAGACAUCCUGCCUACACUUGAAGGUCUCCUGCCAGGACAAGAAGUUCUGGAGAUACAAAGAUCAUACAGAGGAGCAAAGAGAGAAGGUCAGAUAUUGUCUGCGUCCUUUCCCAGCACUCUGUGAAGCCUGGAAUAAUCAGAAGCCUCGGUGGCUGAAAAAGAACAGAAUUCCCUGAAAGAAUUUGGGUACUGUCUGAAGCUGUAGCUAGCCCUGCGAGUCAGGAGAUAAUUUUGUCUCAAGCAGUUGUAUCCACCUGAUGCUGUUUCCCUGACCCAGACACUCUCAAUCUUUCCAGCAGCUGUUGGUACAUGGAAGGAGCCUUUCUGGUGUACAGCUGCAGCAUUUUCCAGAGAUUACUGAACCUGUUGGAAAGUACCAUUUAACAGCAGGAUGGUAUCACCGUUGAUGUUGGAAACCUAUCUUCAUGCAUUUAAAAGCCAUUACUGCAGUUGGACUUCUCACAACAGCUGAUUUUCAUAUUCUACUUGAAAACAAAAACUGGAUGAGAAAAUAGCAUGUGAUUUUGCUUAUCAGCUAUAGCCUUGAUCUGUGGCUGCUUUCGGGCCAGUUCAAUGGUGCGUUAUAGUUUUCCUACCACCAUUACUCCUGCCAAAGCCCAGAUCAGGAGCAGCCUGGCC